UCCAGGGUGUUUCAGUUAGAGACAUGCUUGUGACUGAGUCCACAGCUAGUGAGUGAGUGUGUUAUUCCUGUUGCUCUCACUGUGAAGUGGUGCAAAGUGACGAUACUGGGAGUUCUUUUUGCACUGCUCCCAAUGCAUGAGAUUGAUGUUAGCCCACUUGGCCUGCGGGCUGCCAGGCUGACGUGGGUGUUGACAGCUGGUCUUUGAUUUUGCUUUUUUUCCCUUCUCUUCCACCCCCUGGUUCUUCUAAUGAUGACACUGCUUUUUGUAGCUGUGCCAGCUGUAGAAAACUCUUUUUAGAUGCUUCUGAUAGCAUAAACCUGUUGAUCAAGAAACUCCAAGGCUCAAGUUGGAGUUUUAGAAAGCAGGCAUUCUUUAACAUCAGCGCUGGGUGCACCAGGGUUUUCUUCCUACCAUGCAUAGCUUAUACAAGAGAUCUUCACCUUAUGUACAUUACUUGUGUUACAUAUGCAGAUGUUUCCCAGUGGUACGUUACGUAUUCAGUGACUGAUUCCAAGCAAAACCUCCUGCUUCCUUGGUACACAGAGUCAGCAGAACCUCCUUGGUUCAGAGACGCAGCUCUUCAUUGCCUCAACAAAUUGCAAGGCUCUCCAUCAGAGAACGCCAGCAAGUUUAACAAUAAUCAGCAGCAUUGACACGAGCAGCAGUGCAUACCUUCAGGCCAUCAGAUGGUCAUCCUCUGGGAUGGCCCUGACUGUGUAUGCACUUGCCUGCUGUUGUGCUUGUUUGGCUCAUUGGUGAUCUCUCAAUCACGAGACAUCCUCUUAUCCUUCUGUCUCUUGCUCUUGCCACGGCAAGUGUGCCACAGUGCUGAGACUGCUCUCAGACACCCAGGCCAUCCCUGGCACGCUGCAUCCAGUUGCUUGGAGCAAUAGGCUGCUGCCCUUUUGCUUCUAACAAAAACAGCAUUGAACAAACAUUUGCAAGUUUGUUAAUCAGCUCUGUCAAUUUCAGACAGUCUGCUGGAGUGCCAAUUCCCCAUAGAUUACAUGGUCUGAGGUGGACCAUAGAUUACAUGGUCUGGGGUGGAGGUUAGAAACUUCAGAGUGUAACCAAAAUUAAAUCAGGUAAAAAAAUAUUUAGCAGAAGAAGCCUGUGAAGAACACGUUCCUUUGAAAAAUGAACAAAUUCUCAUUGUGUGUGGCAUACAGGGCUAAGUAUCAGGUAAGCACUGAGAAACACACAUGCACCACCACCACCACCACCACCACCACCAAACAAACAACACCAAAACAAACGCCAGCAACCCCUGGUGCUAUUGGUGGUGCCUUUGUCCUUAUGUUUUGCAACCAAGGUAUUGAGUAGUUAUGUUCUGUUUUAGAGCUGCCCCCUGUUAAGUUUGCUUGUAGCCAGUGAAACUAAAUGCUUUUCAAGAGGUCUUUUCUUGUUCAGUUUUGCAGUUGUGACAUUAACUCACCAAACCCAAACAAGUAGUGGUAGAAAAGAAAUGUAUGGUGCGAUUUCACUUUUUUGGCCCUGUAGUGCCACCUAUUAGUCAGAGUUCAUUUAUUUCAUUAGUUUACUUUGUAAAGCAAUUACAUAACUGUUACCACAAUAGGACUGGAAUUGUGUGUAACAUUUGCUAAAAUAACUUGACAAUUUAUUUUAAAUGAUCUCUGUGCAGUAAUCUCUUCCGUAUAAUGGAAUCAUUCAAAUGCCUCUGAACGUUCUACGUGCUGUACUGCAUUGAGUUAGAUCAAUCAAACCUUAAUUGCUUCUGAGGCAUCCGGACAGCCUUCUGGGAUCUGUUGAACACCACUGUGUCACAAUAACGUCGUAAUAAUUGAUGUAGCAUUAAAUUGUGCCUUUGCUUUGCACUCUAGGAUUGCAGUUUUAUUAGCCGAGCAGGCAAGGUGGAAAAAUUGAAGGAAAAGAGAAACGAAAGUAAGUUGAACACCAGCGGGUGGCCAUUAACUUUGGUUUGUUUCUGUGCCUAUGUGGUUUAUCAUCCUGACACCUUCUGAAUGCUUUGAAUAGCCUGUCCUUGUUUUGCACAGUUUCUCUUUCCCUGGGCUUUAUAUACGUAGAGUGGGAAAGAAUAUAUGAUUCAGUACUCAAUUUGUCAGCCUGAAAUACUUCAUGUGAAAUUUGGUUUGAUGGCUUGGCCACUCAGUGUGAAAAGUAUCGCUCCCAGGUAAGCACUUGGUUUCCCCCAGGCUUCUUUCUAUCCAAAGCAGUGACUCUUGGUUCAUUUAUGUUGGAGAAUUUGCGUAUGGAUACCAGUAUCGCCUCUUUUCCCUUACCAGGGGGGAUUAUUGCUGUGUUAUGGCUACUUGGAGAAGGGCUGAAGUGACUUUAUACUUUUGCUUUUUGUAUAUGCGUGGUAGUGAACAAAAAGGAAUUACUUAGCACUGAAUGUGGCUUCAGGGGCUGCAUUCAUCUUUGUAGAUUGUAUGAACUAGACAGGUGUAGUUCUCUCAUGGUAUUUGUUGAUUGAAGAGGCAGACUGAUAGUCAUCAGAGGUGAGAAGACUGUUAGUAACAAAAUAUUUUGUUUUUUUUUCUUCUCUUUCUGCUUAAUACCCUCUGUAACCCAUUGUUGCUUCUAUCUUUGUGAAGUUUGCCUUCUUUCCUGGUCUCGUUCCCAUGAUUCUUCUGGAAGUCUUUUUCAUCACUGCAUACCGGGCUUCUCUGGCUACAUGCCUGCCCUGUCAUGUUCAGCAGAUGUCUUACCUCAGUGCAGGUGUGGCUUUGUAAAGGCCAAGUUUUGGACCUUGAAUAUAAUCCAUUCUGUCUUUCCUUCCUAUUAACUAAUUAAGUGCUUUUUUUCCACUGCCUGCUAGGUAGCUGAUGUGUUUCUGACCGGCAUACAGUAAGUUGGUCCUUGGAUGAAGAAGUGUGUCUCAUUUAAACCGGACCACGUCCAGGAUCUCUUAUGAUAAUCACUGUUGUACUGACAUGAAAGAUGGGGGAGUUGGUGAUGCUGCUGUGAAGCAGCCAUCAGGACGUUGUUCUGUAGUGUCAGAAAGGCAAGUCACCUUGUUCAUCAAAUGAACAAGAAGGGAAUAAGACAGGAAAGAGAGUGGUUAGGAAGCCAUGAAGAAGUACCUAUCAGCCAGUUUGCUUGUUGGGCUUUGUGCUCAUUCCAGCUGUGCUUUUGCCAUCCCUCUGCUCCUUCCAGGAGUGGAUGCUCUUGCUCAUCCUAUUUUAAGCACCUGCUUGUGCACAAAACCCUGCUGCCUGCACGCAGUGUGGUUUGGACAGUUGCAGGUGCUUGUCUGAGUGGGUGAUGCUGUGCUCUAUAGAGAGCAUAUUUUCUGUUUUGUCUGACAUCAAGAAAUACAGCUUUUCUGCAGUCAUCUCCUAAAAGCGCCCUGCCUUACAAGAAGAAAUAGCUUGUCCAAACUGAUGUUGUCCAGCUUCUCACAAGAUCAUUCCUGCAGUUCUGAGAUAGCCCUUCUGUUUACGCAGCAAAAUCGAGUUUCUCUAUUGGAGUGGUAAGGAAUCCACUUUUCUCAUCAGAAAUCUAUGCAAAAUGUGUGCUUGCCCUCUGACUGCACGAUACCUGCUGUGACCGUGGCUGAGGAGGAAGGGCAGCUGCCUCAGGUGCUUCGUUAAUCCUGCUUUUGUGCACAGCUUUGUUCCGUGGUCCCGAUCUACCCAUCGUGACUUGCAGAUUUAUGCUAAAUUACAUGCAGCUUUACGGGGUAACUGCCUUCCAGAGCGUGUCAGCUGAAGAAUUGAAGGUGAAAGAUGAGAGCAUUAGCGCACAUCACUUUCUGUAGGUAUCAGGGUGCUAUUCAGUACUUCAGUUACUUGUGUACUUUGCUCACUCCACUGAUACCAAAGAACUUCAGUGAGAACAGAGGAGUUUGAAGGGUUGUGAGUCUGGUACAGAGGAGGACAUGGAAAGCCGUUUCACUUGUUAACAGACCACAGCUCAGGGAUCUGCAUAAAGCUGGUAUGUUUUGACAGUCAGAAUUCAUUCUUGCAAUCAAACCCUUCAUAUUCUACAAAGAUGUCCAUUUUAUAUCACUAUAAGGGAUCCUGAAAAGGGUUCCUCCUACACUGCCAAGCUUGCAAAUGGGAAAAGUGUACUGAACCUGAGAGACAGACUUGGUCAGUCUGUCUUUUGGCAGAGAGUAGCAAAGGAUAUAACUGUACAGAAUGAUCGUAGAACAAAUAGAGGGAAGAUGCUUCAGGAGCUCUUACAGACAUUUUCUUCUCCUCCCCCUUGCCUCAUUCUUUCAGUAUCUGUUCGUGGCAUUGCACAGGAUACUUCUGCUAGCUUUGCUAACUUAACAGACCUGACAGAAGUUUGUAUUUCUGCAUGUCAGAAGUCAUGCUGUACAAAUUACUUUUGAAAUUCAACUCGUGUACCACACUGAAGUUGUACUUUCAGUCCUACUGGAAACUGGGACAGUUCUACAGUCCAGGAAUGGUGGAGAAAGAUGAAACCUUCCUUGGUUGUUGCCACAAUUUCCACCCCUAUCAGAAGGACUGGAAGAGGGAGAAUUGAUGACCUGGUGAAAGGGAAAGGCAAGAUUUCAGUAGGAGGUUUAUCUGUUAAUGCUGCAUCUUGCUGCAGGUUUGCAGUGGUCUUCAAACAGAUGUUUGAAUAGAAAUGUUGGAUUGGGAUCUGUAUGGGAACCGUUGAAUCACGGCCUGAACCUCUGAUUGACCACCUGAGGCAAGCGCUGAGUCAGCCACAGGAGCACAGGUGAAUGCAACUUCACCUGAGUGACCAGAAGGGGUGGGGCCUGGCUGCACCCCUCCUAGACCCCAUUUAAGGGCUGACUCCCAAGAAGGAAGGAUCCCUAUCUGGAGAUCACCCCUCUUGGAGCCCUUCUGUGAGCCCAGGAUGGAUCCAAUGCUGUUUUAUGUCUGCAUAUUCUACUGGAUGAAAUGGAUAUGACAUGAAAUGAAUAUGAGAGAAGGAAUACCUGAAGAAAGGAGCUAGCAAAGAAUGGAGCACCAGGAUUUCUUAGCUGUGUGAAGUUUGACUGUGAACUCGUGCUGUACUUUCUGUGAGCAGUAACUCCUGAAUGUGAACGCAUAAGAAGUGCCUGCAGAGCACUGCAGCCCUGCUUCAAUGAUGGGAUGGAGUAACUGUGAUCUGGAGGAGCUCAGCUGUCAUUUCAGGUAAAUGACAAUUCUGCAAGUUUGUGGUUUUGACUUCUCACCUCAGCGGUUUGGAUCAGUGAUUGAGGACGUGGACCCAGGAAUUUGAAGAUGAGCUUCACUUUUAAUGUCUUCAUUUGGACACCAAGCAAAUCCCUAACUAAUUGAGGCUGAAAUGCCUUAGGAUGAUAUUUGCUGUUCUUUAUUUAAAUUCAGAGAGUUUAUCACCACACGGACAUUUCAGUUGCUUAUUCUAGGAAACUCAUGGAAACGUGCUUUGUUAAAUAAUGUAUUUUCUAUUUUUUUUCCCUUCCUUGUGUUACAAAAUGAAUGUAAAAGCUUUAAAACCCAGCAUUCACCACUCUGCAGUAGAUCUAAUAGAGUGGCAUUAUAUGAAGAGAUGCCAUGGUAACUGAAGUUGCCAAGACAGUCAGUGUCAAGCUUUUUAAUGGUGACUGCUAUACUAUAUUUGGCUUUGAUUACCACAAUCUGAAUAGCAAAUGGAAAGUGUUCACCGGUCUCAUUUGCUACCACCUACAGUCCAGAAGUAACGAGAUGACAGAAUUCAGUGUUGCACUGACUGCCAACCACUGGCCAUCAGGAUUGUUCUUUGCAGCACUCCCCUCUCCCACUGGAUCUCAUGGCAUCCUUAUCACAGCCUUACCAUUUGUGCUAUCCAGUUGGUGAUAUGCCACUUGUCUUAAUGAAAUUUGGCACCUGAAGCCAGUAGAGGAGUCUGCACUUUGUGAGCUGGCAAAAAAUCAGCAAAGUCAUUUCCACAGGAAACUGUUCUUUAAAUCUGUAAGUGGUGCGAAAGCAGAAUAAAGCAGAAACGUACACUGUUUUUUUCUCAUAAAUGGGUUAAGUGUACCUUACCUCCCUUGCUGUAAAGCUUUGUAGAUCCUGUUAUCAUCAGUUUUCACAAAAAUGAUACUUUCUUCUGUCUCCAUAAUUUUGGUUUAUUUUUUAAAUGCCAGAAUAGAAAGCGAGGUCCCAUCGCCAAGGUGCCAUUUUAUCAUUUUGCUCACUCUAAUACAAAUGAUUUACCUAUACACUGAAGUAUUACCGUAAGUUAUAAUGAAGCUCCUUGCUAAAACGUGCAGCAGCAGUUCCAAAACGUUACUCAUUACCUUUAAAUCCAGAACUAAACUUUCUGCCAGUAGUAAUAGCCUCAUGCUGUUAAAAAGGACUGUUUUUAACAUGCUGUUAAAGGACUGCUUUACUUAAAAGGAAGCAGUCACAGAGCAGACUAUGAAAUGCUUCUUGAAUGAGAUGAACAGUCCUGGCCAUAACAGUUGUAGACUAUUGGGAAACUCAAUAGGCAGCUAACAGGAACAACUUGGGUAGGAAGAGCUUGAGGGUGAGUGCAGCUCAGCUCAGAACAGCCUUCUGUCAUUCUCUCUUGCAGUUAGGCAGACAUAAACAAAGAAGCAUGAUGGGAAGAAACUGAUAUCUUGGAGGGAAGGGAAAGACUAAAUAAAGAGUAGGGAAAAAGCUUUAACAAUGUGAUUCUUUAGAUAGAAAGCUAGUCUCAAAAGACCUAUCCCUUGACACAUGAAAAAUUGAUUGGAGAAAGCAGUAGCAAAUAGUUUUCCAGGAAGAAUGUUGUAUUGGCAGGAGGAUGGAUAAGAUGAUCACAGUUCAUUUACUUAAGUUAUAUCCAACAGCAUUAUGAAGUAGGAGAAUAUAUGGGUGAUUUCAUGUGGUUUUGGAUCGUGUGGAUUUUGAACAAACCAGUCAGGAGGUAGCAGCAUUGCUUUGGAGAUCAGCAAAUGAAGAAAAACAGCUUCAGUUGAAAGGGAACAGAUUUGACAGGAAAAAUUCAUAUUUGUUAAAGAUUGGUUUAGAAUACUGACAUCAAAUCUCACUGUCAGUGGAUAUUUUCUUCAACGGCUGUAUCUCUACUGCUAAAAUGCAACACAACAAAUUCAGAUUCAUUCCUAAGAUCAAUUUGUUCAAGUCAACAAAAUUUUUGUCACACCACUGUUAAACCUGAGAUGCCUCAAAUAAAGAGUAUAACUUGGCUUGAAAACAGCACGAAGGAUGAAUGUAAUCCAUGCCAUCGAGAAAAUAGCCAAUGUUAAACUAGAUGAGUUUGACACCAAUUCAAAAGGCAUCUUCUUGUGUCCUACAUUCUAGUAAUUUUGUUGACUAAAUUAUGUGUUUAAAUUUAUACGGCAAACUCAGGCCAGCAUUUGGGUUCCUGUGAUUAUUCAUUUGUAAGGCUGUGAAUGCUUAUUAAUGGCUCCUGGCUUUAGAAUGAGCGUUUAUGCUUCCAAAGCACUGCACAUGACUAAUUUGUUCUUCUGCUUAUUCGAAAGCAGCAGGGGUUGUCAAGAAGCCAAAUCUACACUGAAUUAAAACCACGUUGCUUUGCUUCCAUAGAAGAGGUAAUACUUGGCUGUUGUAAAAAAGUCACACUUCAAUUGAGCAUCAGUUCAUCACUGAAACUACAAAGUGGAGCAGUCGCAGAGCAGUCCCUGUGCAGACUUGUUGCUGGCUCACGCCUGCCAGUACUUCACAGAGAUGCAGGUGAGUGUCUCAAUUAAGCAGGUGAGCUGGAAGGUGCUUUCCCCAUCAUCGCUUGCAGACUGUCUCCCUGUCAUCUCCUUCUGUCUGACAUACCUGAUUGUUUUUGCUGGGCCGCAGUGUGCAGAAAUGACUGUGGCAAUAAUUCUUCUGCUCUCCUUAAACCUUUCAGAUGCCAUUGGUGGACUUUUCACUGCUGGACAGAAGGCAUUUGUGUGAUUGCUUGUUGUGAAGUACCUUCUGCAGAGACUGCCUGCAGUUUUGGAAGGCAGCUGGAUAGCAUCAUGCAUUAGUAAUCUAAUGACCUUUACCCCUCGGCACCAUUUCCUCACAUCUUGAACAGCUUGGCAAUACUAGGAAAGCAUCCCAUGGUUCAGUACAGUUGUGUAAUAGAAGUUCUUCUCAUUACAUUUCACUCAUUGACUGAUUUUAUCUCAAGAGUAAGCACAGCAGCUAGAAAUCACAGGAAGCCUCGGAAGAGAGUUGGAUUAAUACCUGAAGGCAGUUUCCUCUGGAAGUGAGCUUUCCUUCGAGGCAUGGAGCAGCACUGCUGCUGUGGCUGCUGCACUGGGGCUGCAGGAAGUCCCUCUGUGCAGACAAAACUCAUUCUGGGAACAUGCAAAGAACACAGAGUUUGGACCCAAUUACUCACUCUGCCAUCUUUUUUUAUCCUCAAGGAUGGGGGGGAAUCCUUUAUCAGUGCAUAGUAAUCGUCUUGAUGUCCAAUGAAAAGAGCAAUGACAAACAUUUCCUUGCCAGACAAUGAGUAUUGCAGGCAGACAGCUGGGUUACUUUCCACCUUUGCACGAGCACAUCUGCUCAACGAGCACGGCGUGCAUUCGGAGAUACCCGAGCACGCAGGGCUGACAUUUGCUUUUCAGAAGCGCCCCCCUGACAGGCACUUGAAUGCUCAGACACCCGUGUGAAAGGUACACAGGACAUCAGUGGGACGAGCUGCGUAACUCACACCAAUGACACGUCUCUUUUCACUUGCAGUAUUUAUAGCUGGCAGUGAUUUCCCAUUGCGCACUUUUGCUUUAGGAAGGACUUCUAAAAUAUCAAGAGUUUGUUCCAUACAGACCUUUUCCUUUGGGUACAUGAAGGAGGCUGAUGUCAACGGCAGCUCUCGGACGUGGCCCUGAAUACACAGCAGUACGAGCCAUUCUGCUUGUGCAUGUGGUCAGCUUUUGCUUCAGUCUUCUUGUGCUUCUGCUUGUGCUUCAGGCAGCAUGACUUUCAGAGCUCUUCAUUUUAUUUUAUGGCUAAUUUCACGAAUUCAUUAGGGGCAUUGUAGUGGCAGUGCUCAGUCACAGCCUGAAACAGUGAUGGAGCACCUGGUGGGAAGGCAGGGCCAACCCAGGGGAGUUCAGGUGCACGUAGUGCUGCUGAGUGACUAGAAGGGAUGGAGUCAGUAUCCACCCCUUCCCAGCCCUCAUUUAAGGGUUGGCAGUGGAGCUGAGGGUAUCUUUUGCUGGAGAUUCCUGCUUACCUGCGGCCUUCUAAGAGUAAGCAGCUCUUUUCCUUAAUUUUUGCAUCUGUGGCUGUUGCAUUUGGGCUCAUUCUCAUUUGGAGUAGCUAAAGACUUUGACGCCCUGCUAUUAUCCUAUUAUAGCGUUGCAGGCAUUAAUAAUAGUUAAGGAGAUUUAAAUCCAUUAUGACUGUAACACUGGGCAGGCUGCAGGGGUGUGCAGAUGUCAUCUCCAUGUUCUUCUGGAGGAAUUUUGGAUGCUCAGUAGCAGUGAUGCCAGUGUUGGGGCAUGCACCCAGAGCACCCCUGUCUGGAGGAAAUGUAGUUCCCCACAUCUUGCAACGCACAGAGCUGUGAGAACACCAGAAUGCCUGAGCACUCAUCUGCUGCCCAGCUCUUGGCUGCUGCUAGAUGCAGCUCGUGACUUUGAAACCAGUUGUUUGCAAAAGAGCUCUGUGCCAUGCCCUGCAGGGCGAGCAGGGCCUCGUGCUGCAGCUGCUGACUAAUGCAUGACACCUCUGCUGUGAGGCAGUUGUGUUCACUCACCGAGGUCAGGGUGACUCAAAGCAGCACAUGUUCCAUGUCGAUGCCCAGAGGCAGCUGCUGUUUUACAUCAUGACAAUGUCAAUUAUCACCUACAACACUCCUGUAAGGAGUAAAAUGGCAUUGACAAAAGAUGCAAUUAUUUGGCUGUUUGCUUUCUCAGUCCUCUGCUAAUGUCAGUGUCUGGUUGUCUCUCUGAUGAUGCCUUUAAACCACAUGUGUGACAGCUACACUGCGUUGAAAAACACAGCUUUCCCCACCUGUGUGUGCAUGAGGAGAUGUGCUGUUGCAGAGAUGCCCUGAUCUUUCUGAGCACCACUGUAACGCUGCUGGAGAAGCUCAAGGGGGGAUUGUGUCCUUUCCAGUGGAGGCUGGAGGUGCAAUAUUGAUCUCAGCCCCCAUCUCUUGGAUAGCUGGAGUGUCAAGCACUGGGUAGAAUUGCUGUAAGUGCGCUGGCUCUUGCUGUGCUCCUGGCCGUUCCUCUGCUUCAUGUCUAUGUGCUUGGGCCUUUGGAGCUGGCUGCUGCACCAGCCCAGCUCUCGGAGGUGUCCCCCAGCAGCUGCUGCCUGGGGUUGCUUGGGCUGCUCGCAGGAGCUGAGGGCACAGCCCAGCCCGCUGUGCUGGCAGAGGCUGAUAGCCUGCCCAGAGCAAGUUUUUCUCCUCCACCACAGUCAUCUGACCUGUCCUUAGAACGGCAUCUGCUUUUGGGGGGCAAGACCAACAAAAAACAACAGCAACAAAAAGCUUUUGUGAUUCAUCUCUUAUUUAGAGCAUGUGCUAAUGAUGAAUUUGGGUGCAUCCCAUCUUGUCUCUAGGAACAGCUGGAAUAACUUCUGUGUUUUUGCAUUGGAAACAACAAUGUUGCCGAAUCAUAGCUGUUCUUUGUGAAUCUCUCCAUUUCUUUAAGUUGUCAAUUUAUGGAAAAGUGGAAGAAUCUGGUAGUGAAACUGAAACUUCUUGUUUGAUCAUUUUGGUACCAGCAGAUGUGGGGAAUUCAUUCCAGGACAAGUUUAUUGCCUACGUUCACGUUCUGACAUUGCCAAAAUGAGCAGAAAUAAAAGCCUUCCCCACCCCCCUCAAGUUUUUAAAUAUAAUGGGAAAUGUUUUUAUUCUUUGGAGUUGUGGCAGAGUCUGCACAAUUUAACCUUGCAGACUUAUCCUGUUCAACCACAGGUCGUGUGCUGCUGUCCCAGCAGCUGGGGCUGGAUCCAUGCAGUCAGUCUGCACACGACGUGGAGGUUUGCUGAUGCUGCACAGUUGGGUGCAGGCAGUCAUCUGCAGAGCCCUCACGCCUUUGUAUCAUCCAGCCUGAUACUCAUAGCGCUGUUUUACUAAGCCCAAAGCCUUUACUGGUUACACAUGCUCUGCGUCAUUCCUUCCAUUGGCACGUGCUCCGUUCGGCAUUCUCUCAUUCACGUACGACACAGGGAAGGGAUUGUAUACUCCACUGUGAUACCACUUACAUCUCCUCCUUUGUUUCUAGGCAUGUAAUUACAUAUGGAUUUGGACCUUAACAAACCAUGGGUUGCUUUAGGUUACACUUGCUCCUGCCUCAGCCUAACUACGUGUUUUCAUUUAGAUUUUGGCAAGACCUUUGUCUGGCCAGCUGGCUUUUGUGCUCGAGACCAUCCUGUCUUUUGUCUUGAGUUACCCUUCCUUCUUCCCAACUGCAGCCCUGACUGCACUUGCAGUAACAGGGAUGAAUUUAUCAAAUGUUUGUGUAUUCACACAAUUAAAACGCAGAUAUUGAUUUGUUA